AUGCGGCGGGCUCGGGGCGCGGCGCUGCCGGCGCUGGCCGCGCUGAUCAUCGUGGCUGUGGUCAGAGCCCAAGUGCAGCAGGAGCCAUUCCUGGAGACCACCGAGGGCACCAGCAUCAGCAUCAAGUGCUCUCACCCCAACAUACGUACAGGCGAUUUCAUCCACUUCUACCGUCAGCUGCCGGGACAAAGCCCCGAACUCGUGGUGUACACUGCUAAAGCGCCCAAGGAGGUGCGAUCCCCUGAAGGGCGCCUAACGGUGUCGGCAGACCGGCGCUCGAGCGCGCUGUGGCUCGGGCGGCCCCGGCGCGGGGACGCGGCCGUGUAUUACUGCGCGCUGGGGCCACGGGCAGAGGAGCCGGGGCUGCGGCCGGGCACGAACCGCCGCGGGCGGGGCCGGGCGGGGCCAGCAGGGGGCGCUGCCGCUCCCGCUUGA